GAGUGCGGCUGCUAUACAUGCAAGUCGAGCGCGGGAAGCAAGCAGAUCUCCUUCGGGGGUGACGCUUGUGGAACGAGCGGCGGACGGGUGAGUAACACGUGGGCAACCUACCUGUAAGACUGGGAUAACUCCGGGAAACCGGGGCUAAUACCGGAUGAUACAUAUCGUCGCAUGACGAGAUGUUGAAAGGCGGCAUAUGCUGUCACUUACAGAUGGGCCCGCGGCGCAUUAGCUAGUUGGUGAGAUAAAAGCUCACCAAGGCGACGAUGCGUAGCCGACCUGAGAGGGUGAUCGGCCACACUGGGACUGAGACACGGCCCAGACUCCUACGGGAGGCAGCAGUAGGGAAUCUUCCGCAAUGGACGAAAGUCUGACGGAGCAACGCCGCGUGAGUGAUGAAGGUUUUCGGAUCGUAAAACUCUGUUGUUAGGGAAGAACAAGUGCCAUUCGAAUAGGUUGGCACCUUGACGGUACCUAACCAGAAAGCCCCGGCUAACUACGUGCCAGCAGCCGCGGUAAUACGUAGGGGGCAAGCGUUGUCCGGAAUUAUUGGGCGUAAAGCGCGCGCAGGCGGUCCUUUAAGUCUGAUGUGAAAGCCCACGGCUUAACCGUGGAGGGCCAUUGGAAACUGGGGGACUUGAGUACAGAAGAGGAGAGUGGAAUUCCACGUGUAGCGGUGAAAUGCGUAGAGAUGUGGAGGAACACCAGUGGCGAAGGCGACUCUCUGGUCUGUAACUGACGCUGAGGUGCGAAAGCGUGGGUAGCGAACAGGAUUAGAUACCCUGGUAGUCCACGCCGUAAACGAUGAGUGCUAGGUGUUAGGGGGUUUCCGCCCCUUAGUGCUGAAGUUAACGCAUUAAGCACUCCGCCUGGGGAGUACGGCCGCAAGGCUGAAACUCAAAAGAAUUGACGGGGACCCGCACAAGCGGUGGAGCAUGUGGUUUAAUUCGAAGCAACGCGAAGAACCUUACCAGGUCUUGACAUCCUCUGACGCCCCUAGAGAUAGGGAGUUCCCUUCGGGGACAGAGUGACAGGUGUUGCAUGGUUUGUCGUCAGCUCGUGUCGUGAGAUGUGGGUUAAGUCCCGCAACGAGCGCAACCCUUUGAUCUUAGUUGCCAGCAUUUAGUUGGCCACUCUAAGGUGACUGCCGGUGACAAACCGGAAG
rnacentral:rRNA from 1 species